rnacentral:tRNA from 1 species
AGUCCCGUAGUGUAGUGGCCUAUCAUCGUGCCCUUUGGAGGCGCGGACCCCGGUUCAAAUCCGGGCGGGACUA